ACAGCCACAUCAUGUUGGAACACCAGUUCUUGUACGAUCACCAAAGUUAAGCAAUGUCAAGUCUGGUUAGAACCUAGGUAGGUGACCACUUGGGAAUACCAAUUGCUGUAAG